AUGAUUGCUUUUCAUAAUUUGCAAGGUGUGGUUAUACGAGUACUCCUCACUUACUGACAAUAAUUGGAACCAGGAACUCUCUCACUAAGCCACAUGAUCAUAAGGUGUGACAUCCAUCCAACUAACAAGAGCAGUUGAAGUGUCACAGUUGUCAUAAUUUUGGCAAAUCCUGUUUUAGUUGCAGCAUUCUAGGGUCCCAUGAUGGCCAUUUGUGAUCUCCUGCUGGCUUCCCCAAUGACUUUGCUUAUUGGAAGUCAACAGCGAAAGUGUUUGAAUUGUGAUUCCAAAUUGGGCUCAUAUGGCCAUGGACUACAACCAAAAGGACCCAUGAGGGUCUAAUUCCUGCUUGUUAUAAACGGGCAAAGAAAGUGCAGCUUCUUUGAUCAAGAUGAAAAACAACUUUAAAAGACAGGAAAUGGGAAGGGGAAGGAGAAUUGAAAAUACAACUGAAAUAUGUAAGCUCAUAUGUUCCCAUGAAAUUCAUUGUGUGAACAGGGCUAGAGUUUUCAGAUUAAUAGUUAUGGACUUUUUAAAUAAAAAAAAAUAGAUAUCACAAAGAACAACAACAUAAAACAAGCAGGUAAAGUUACACAAGUAUCAAGCCCAUCAUCGUUAUUUACCCAGCUCUUGAACAAGGUGUGGCUCUAGAGGAAAAGAACAACCAAGACGAAUCUUGAAGGCGGAACAAGGGCAUUUGAGUUUUAUUCAUGUCAUGCAGAAUAUUACUCAUGUCUGUCAGCAUUUCAAAAUCCUGCCAUUCUAAUUUAAGUCAUUCUUCUCUCCUAAAUUUCUCUGCCUACUGUCAGCACUCCAUAGCAGACCAUACCUUUAAG